UGGGGAAUAUUGCACAAUGGGCGAAAGCCUGAUGCAGCAACGCCGCGUGAGUGAUGAAGGCCUUCGGGUUGUAAAGCUCUGUCUUUUGGGACGAUAAUGACGGUACCAAAGGAGGAAGCCACGGCUAACUACGUGCCAGCAGCCGCGGUAAUACGUAGGUGGCAAGCGUUGUCCGGAUUUACUGGGCGUAAAGGAUGCGUAGGCGGAUUUUUAAGUGAGAUGUGAAAUACCCGGGCUUAACUUGGGUGCUGCAUUUCAAACUGGGAAUCUAGAGUGCGGGAGAGGAGAAUGGAAUUCCUAGUGUAGCGGUGAAAUGCGUAGAGAUUAGGAAGAACACCAGUGGCGAAGGCGAUUCUCUGGACCGUAACUGACGCUGAGGCAUGAAAGCGUGGGUAGCAAACAGGAUUAGAUACCCUGGUAGUCCACGCCGUAAACGAUGAGUACUAGGUGUAGGAGGUAUCGACCCCUUCUGUGCCGCAGUUAACACAAUAAGUACUCCGCCUGGGAAGUACGAUCGCAAGAUUCAAAAGCUCAAAGGAAUUGACGGGGUCAUAGCUG
rnacentral:rRNA from 1 species